GUUAUAUGGUCAAGCGAAUAAGCGCACACGGUGGAUGCCUAGGCGGUCAGAGGCGAUGAAGGACGUGGUAGCCUGCGAAAAGUGUCGGGGAGCUGGCAACAAGCUUUGAUCCGGCAAUAUCCGAAUGGGGAAACCCACUGCUUCGGCAGUAUCCUGCAGUGAAUUCAUAGCUGCUGGAAGCGAACCCGGUGAACUGAAAUAUCUAAGUAACCGGAGGAAAAGAAAUCAACCGAGAUUCCCUAAGUAGUGACGAGCGAACGGGGAGCAGCCCUUAAGCUGGAAUGGCUUUAGAAAAACAAUCUGGAAAGAUUGGCCAUAGAAGGUGAUAGCCCUGUAUUUAAAAGGGCCACUCCAGUGAAGACGAGUAGGGCGGGGCACGUGAAACCCUGUCUGAAUAUGGGGGGACCAUCCUCCAAGGCUAAAUACUCCUGACCGACCGAUAGUGAACCAGUACCGUGAGGGAAAGGCGAAAAGAACCCCGGAGAGGGGAGUGAAAUAGAUCCUGAAACCGUGUGCGUACAAGCAGUAGGAGCUCGCAAGAGUGACUGCGUACCUUUUGUAUAAUGGGUCAGCGACUUACUGUUCGUGGCAAGCUUAACCGUAUAGGGGAGGCGAAGGGAAACCGAGUCUGAUAAGGGCGCAUAGUCGCGGGCAGUAGACCCGAAACCGGGUGAUCUAGUCAUGGCCAGGGUGAAGGUGCCGUAACAGGUACUGGAGGCCCGAACCCACGUCUGUUGCAAAAGACGGGGAUGAGCUGUGAUUAGGAGUGAAAAGCUAAUCGAACCCGGAGAUAGCUGGUUCUCCUCGAAAGCUAUUUAGGUAGCGCCUCAUGUGUAUCCUCUCGGGGGUAGAGCACUGUUAUGGCUAGGGGGUCAUCGCGACUUACCAAACCAUUGCAAACUCCGAAUACCGAGACGGACUGUAUGGGAGACACACGGCGGGUGCUAACGUCCGUCGUGAAAAGGGAAACAACCCAGACCCACAGCUAAGGUCCCAAAUUCACUGCUAAGUGGAAAACGAUGUGGAAAGGCAUAGACAGCCAGGAGGUUGGCUUAGAAGCAGCCACCCUUUAAAGAAAGCGUAAUAGCUCACUGGUCGAGUCGGUCUGCGCGGAAGAUUUAACGGGGCUAAGCAGUGAACCGAAGCUUGGGGUGCAUAAAACGUGUUUUAUGCGCGGUAGAGGAGCGUUCCGUAAGCCUGCGAAGGUGGAUUGAGAAGUCUGCUGGAGGUAUCGGAAGUGCGAAUGCUGACAUGAGUAACGAUAAUGCGGGUGAAAAGCCCGCACGCCGAAAGCCCAAGGUUUCCUUGCGCAACGUUAAUCGACGCAGGGUUAGUCGGUCCCUAAGGCGAGGGCGAAAGCCGUAGUCGAUGGGAAGCAGGUUAAUAUUCCUGCACCUCGCGUGAGUGCGAUGGAGGGACGGAGAAGGUUAGGUGUACCGGGCGUUGGUUGUCCCGGGGAAAGGCGGUAGGUUUGGAUCUUUGGCAAAUCCGGGAUCCUUUAAGACCGAGCACCGAGACGAGCCUUUUUGGCGAAGUCACUGAUACCACGCUUCCAGGAAAAGCUCCUAAGCUUCAGCUCACGAAGACCGUACCGUAAACCGACACAGGUGGGUAGGAUGAGAAUUCUCAGGCGCUUGAGAGAACUCGGGUGAAGGAACUAGGCAACAUGGCACCGUAACUUCGGGAGAAGGUGCACCCUUUUUGGUGGCUCAUGCGAGCUAUAGCUGAAGAGGGUCGCAGAAACCAGGCCGCUGCGACUGUUUAUCAAAAACACAGCACUCUGCAAACACGAAAGUGGACGUAUAGGGUGUGACGCCUGCCCGGUGCUGGAAGGUUAAUUGAUGGGGUCAGCCGCAAGGCGAAGCUCUUGAUCGAAGCCCCAGUAAACGGCGGCCGUAACUAUAACGGUCCUAAGGUAGCGAAAUUCCUUGUCGG
rnacentral:rRNA from 1 species